GAUGAAGAACGUAGCGAAAUGCGAUAAGUAGUGUGAACUGCAGAAUUCAGUGAAUCAUCGAAUCUUUGAACGCACAUUGCGCCCCUUGGUAUUCCAUGGGGCAUGCCUGUUCGAGCGUCAUCUACACCCUCAAGCUCUGCUUGGUGUUGGGCGUCUGUCCCGCCUUUGCGCGUGGACUCGCCCCAAAUUCAUUGGCAGCGGUCCUUGCCUCCUCUCGCGCAGCACAUUUGCGCUUCUCGAGGUGCGCGGGCCGCGUCCACGAAGCAACUAUUACCGUCUUUGACCUCGGAUCAGGUAGGGAUACCCGCUGAACUUAAGCAUAUCAAUAAGCGGAGGA
rnacentral:misc_RNA from 1 species